rnacentral:tRNA from 1 species
GCCGAUUGGCUCAGUCGGUUGAGUGCCAGCAUGGUGUGCUGGCGGUCGCGGGUUCGAUUCCCGGUGGAGUGAAAACUGGCG